rnacentral:lncRNA from 1 species
AUGGCCUCAUAGUACUCCAUCUCCGUGUCCCUCACCAAGUCCAUCUCCGCCACGCAUAGCAGCACCGGAGGCAGUUUCAGCCCUUCGAGUGGCGGUGCCGCCUCACCCAUCGGGCACGUAAAGGGGUGGUCCUUGGUGGCCCCAACAGGAAGCGCCAAGGCUAAGAACUUGUCCAGCAUGUCCAACGUUAAAAACGGUGUCUGUGGCAUUUCCAUCUCGGACCGGCUCCGGUUGGACCGGACAAAACCGGGGUGAACCGGAAUUGCCCCCGCGACCCGGACCGGGCUUAGGUCCGCCGAACCGGCCCUCGCGGCCACCUCAUGCACCGAGUUUCCGCCAGAACUGUCUCCUAUGAGGAAAACCCGGUUGAAGUCACCGUGUUGCUCGAGCCACGGCUCGAGUGAACCGGACCGGGCCACGGUUUGGAGCCAGAGGAGGGUGUCAAAGCCGUCAUCGAUGGCGGCGGGGAGGCGGUGCUCUGGGGCACGGCGGAGGAACGGGGAAACCACGAUGGACCGAGUGGACCGGGCGAACCGGGUGUAGACUUGGUAGUACAUGAACCAGUCCGGUUCACUUAUGCAAAACCCGCCGCCGUGGAAAUGGAGGACAAUUGGUAGUUUUUGGCUGUCUUCCGGCUUUAUCUCUGGCAGAUAAAGUCGGACAUGGUGGCCACUCUGGCCACCACCGUGAGUAACGGCGACG